rnacentral:rRNA from 1 species
UUGCUCUGAUUUGCUUAUUGCACCACAUGUGUUUUUUAUUGAACAAAUUUCUUUGGUGGCGGGAGCAAUCCUACCGCCAGAGGUUAUAACUAAACCAAACUUUUUAUUUACAGUCAAACUUGAUUUAUUAUUACAAUAGUCAAAACUUUCAACAACGGAUCUCUUGGUUCUCGCAUCGAUGAAGAACGCAGCGAAAUGCGAUACGUAAUAUGAAUUGCAGAUAUUCGUGAAUCAUCGAAUCUUUGAACGCACAUUGCGCCCUUUGGUAUUCCAAAGGGCAUGCCUGUUUGAGCGUCAUUUCUCCCUCAAACCCCCGGGUUUGGUGUUGAGCAAUACGCUAGGUUUGUUUGAAAGAAUUUAACUUGAAAACUUAUUUUAACCAACUUAGGUUUAUCCAAAAACCCUAAUUUUGCUAUGGGCCACCACAAUUUAUUUCAUAACUUUGACCUCAAACCAGGAAGAACUACCCGCUAAACUUAACCAUAUCAAAACCGGGAAGAAA